rnacentral:lncRNA from 1 species
GGUGGAGCGGCUACUCAGAGGGAAACCAGCCGGGAGUGGCUCCGGGCGGUGACGUGUCGCAGAGCAACAGCCCAGACCGGCAGGAUCAGGUGUUCUUCAGUGGUCCAUGUCUUGUAGAAUCUGGUGAAUCUACAACCAGGUAAAGUUUUUCAGGUUCUUUGAUGUGCUGUGCGAGGCGCUGCGUUUUAAUGGACCCGAGGCAGCCGUUCUUGGACACUCUUCUCAGCUGAGGUGAAAACAGUGAAACAGAAACACAACAAUUACAACAACAACAUCUACCAGGGCAGUGUGCCCGGCUCCUAAGUGACUGAUGGGACAGACAGUCGCCCAGAUAGGGACU